AUGAUCAGGAAGGUAAACAGAAGCAACAACAAUAAAAAAAUCCUGUCAUUAUCUACUUCCCCAACAAUUUAUCUUCAUGUUGGAUCCAUGACAGAGAGGAGAGACGAGCGGCGAGUUGUACAUGAGGCGUGCAUGCGACCCAGGACACACACAAACGGAUCGAGUGACGACACCUCUGCUGCUCAUACAGCAUGUGUCCAUUUCAGCAUCCAUCUUCUUCACGGCAUCAAAGACGAGAGCGAGAGAGGUGGCCGCUUGGCCAGCGAGCCAGCCACCGCACCCUUCACCGACCUGGCUUGA
rnacentral:rRNA from 1 species